UUCGGGAAACCGGAGCUAAUACCGGAUAAUAUUUUGAACCGCAUGGUUCAAAAGUGAAAGACGGUCUUGCUGUCACUUAUAGAUGGAUCCGCGCUGCAUUAGCUAGUUGGUAAGGUAACGGCUUACCAAGGCAACGAUGCAUAGCCGACCUGAGAGGGUGAUCGGCCACACUGGAACUGAGACACGGUCCAGACUCCUACGGGAGGCAGCAGUAGGGAAUCUUCCGCAAUGGGCGAAAGCCUGACGGAGCAACGCCGCGUGAGUGAUGAAGGUCUUCGGAUCGUAAAACUCUGUUAUUAGGGAAGAACAUAUGUGUAAGUAACUGUGCACAUCUUGACGGUACCUAAUCAGAAAGCCACGGCUAACUACGUGCCAGCAGCCGCGGUAAUACGUAGGUGGCAAGCGUUAUCCGGAAUUAUUGGGCGUAAAGCGCGCGUAGGCGGUUUUUUAAGUCUGAUGUGAAAGCCCACGGCUCAACCGUGGAGGGUCAUUGGAAACUGGAAAACUUGAGUGCAGAAGAGGAAAGUGGAAUUCCAUGUGUAGCGGUGAAAUGCGCAGAGAUAUGGAGGAACACCAGUGGCGAAGGCGACUUUCUGGUCUGUAAC
rnacentral:rRNA from 1 species